GAUUCCCUGGGUUGUGCGCCAGUCGGUGAUGUCCUCGAGCCGAUAAUCACUUCCUAGGAGUGCGCUAGGGUACGCUGUGAGCAGGUCCGUUUACGGAAAGCCUAAUGCGUAUCUGUGUACUCCGCCUUGAACCUUUGGGUUCAAGGGCUAUACCGACAGCGGCAACUUGGGGUCCUU
rnacentral:other from 1 species